GGUGAUUCUGGACCAGUUCAACCCCGGCCUGAGGAGUUUUGUCACGAUGGGGAAGAGUUACCAACGAGCGCUCUCAGGGGUGACCGUAGCGGCCAAGGGUUAUUUCGACGCCCUGGUGAAGCUGGGGGAAUUGGCCAGCGACAGCCAAGGGUCCAAGGAACUGGGGGACACCCUGUUCCAGAUGGCCGAGGUGCAUCGGCAGAUCCAGGUGCAACUGGAGGAAACU